UACAGAGGUGGCAAGCGUUGUUCGGAAUUACUGGGCGUAAAGGGCGCGUAGGCGGCCUUCUAAGUCAGACGUGAAAUCCCCAGGCUUAACUUGGGAACUGCGUCUGAUACUGGGAGGCUUGAGUGCGGGAGAGGGAUGUGGAAUUCCAGGUGUAGCGGUGAAAUGCGCAGGUAUCAGGAGGAACACCAAUUGCGAAGGCAGCUCGCUGGGACGGUACUGACGCUGAGACGCGAAAGCGUGGGGAGCAAACAGG
rnacentral:rRNA from 1 species